CUGAGCAGUGUUAAUUUAACACUGGGAAAUUUGCUGUACUUAAAACAAGAACAAAUAUCAACCAGUGGGACCCAGCUGUGCCAGUAACUCUAUAAGAUCAUCUGUGUGGGUGGAACUGGGAGAGCUGCCAAUCAAAUGUCUGGACACUGUAGCCCCGCCCUCAGAGCUGGUCAGGUAGCCCUCUGCUGCAGGUCAAAGGUGUCUCAGCAUGAGGACGGAGGGUUUUACCUCUCAGACGUGAGCGGCUGGUUUGGUUCCCUGGAGGCCUCUGAUUGGCUGCCUCUCCUUGAUGAGACAGUUGGCUUGGCAACGACCUCUCUAACCUCUGUCACCUCUGCAUGUAGC